rnacentral:rRNA from 1 species
GAGUUUGAUUCUGGCUCAGGAUGAACGCACAAGACGUGCCUAACACAUGCAAAUCGAAUGAAACCAAUAAUUAAUUAUUGGUUUCAUGGUGAACGGGUGAGUAACACAUAAGAAUCAGCUUUUAGAUAAGGCAUAAAAGAGUAAUAUCUUGGUAAUUCCUUAUAUGCGCAGCAGUGCUUAAAAAGGGGACUCCCGUCUAAAAACGAGCUUAUGCCUGAUUAGCUAGUUGGCGAGUUAAAAGCUCACCAAGGCGAAGAUCAGUAGCUGGCCUGAGAGGGCGGCCAGCCACAUUGGGACUGAGACACGGCCCAAACUCCUACGGGAGGCAGCAGUGGGGAAUCUUCUGCAAUGGGCGCAAGCCUGACAGAGCGGCGUCGUGUGAAGGAAGAAGGCCUGAAAUAGGUUGUAAACUUCUUUUACUGAGUAAUGAAUAAUGACAACGCAGUAAAAAAGUAUCGGCUAACUCCGUGCCAGCAGCCGCGGUAAUACGGGGGAUGCAAGCGUUAUCCGGAAUCACUGGGCGUAAAGCGUCUGUAGGUGGUUUAGUGUGUUCUUAGUUAAAUUAUGAAGCCUAACUUCAUGAAAAGUAAGAAAACUAUUAGACUUGAGUACGAUAGGGGUAAGAGGAAUUCUUCGAGAAGUAGUGAAAUGCGAAGAUACGAAGGAGAAGAUCAUAAGCGAAGGCUUCUUACUGGGUCGUAACUGACACUGAGAGACGAAAGCUAGGGGAGCGAAUGGGAUUAGAUACCCCAGUAGUCCUAGCUGUAAACGAUGGAUAUUCGGUGCCGGAUUUUAUUAGAACAUUUUGGUACCCUAGCUAACGCGUUAAAUAUCCCGCCUGAGGAGUACGCCCGCAAGGGUGAAACUCAAAGGAAUUGACGGGGGCUCGCACAAGCGGUGGAGCAUGUGGUU